GGACGAUUAGCUCAACUGGUUAGAGCAGGACCCUCUUAAGGUCAAGGUUCUCGGUUCGAGUCCGAGAUCGUCCA
rnacentral:tRNA from 1 species